GUAGUAAGUACGCGAACGUGUCGUGCAACUUCGAUUGUGGGAGAAAUUUCAGAACUGUUUCCUCCAAUACUAUUCUUUGCUUUAUCGUUAACGUUCUUAUGUACAUAAUAACAAUACAUAACUUAAUAUAAGCUCAACGUAACAACAAAGAUAAGCACGUGUAUAGGCCGAAAAUAUCAUAUAUGCAAAUAAAACAAUACAAAAGGUGGUAACUCAUGACGGUGAGAAUCGUUAGUCUUUGACGAUGAGUGAUAGAGUACAGUAUUUUCCUUGCCCAUGUGCUGUCCUGAAGUCUUGCGUCUUGACUACUCUUGAGUCCUGAUUACCAACUUACCAACAAUGCAUUACUAGAGGAUUUAAAGACAUGGUAUUAUAUACACGAUACAUAUAUGUAUAUGCAUAUAUAUACGUCAGGAACCAUUCUGAGACGAACACGGAAGAAGAUACAAUAUUCUAUUCUUUUCCCUUUACUAGAUUCAGAUUCCUAAAUAGAUAGAAUUUCUCUGUGAGACAUGUCUUUAGAUUCUUAUAUAGGUAGAAUACCUAUAUAAAAAAAUGGGAUUUGUGAAAUUAAAAUUUGUUUUAAAAACCUUUUUAGGACCGACGAAUAAAGACACACGAUAGACAAGAUAGACACAACAAAUUAGAUUUACUUUUAAGCAGAAUAUAUAUUAAUUAUUUAAUAUGUGGUUUAAUACACAAUUGAGUAUUUUUAAAUUUAUGAAUAGAUGAAAUAUUCUUAAAUCAUCAUCUUAACGCUUAAGUAGGCAUUUGGUAGGAGAACACUGAUUAAUACUACUAACUGUAAACGUUAAUAUGUGCCAUUUCUUAUAUGUGUAAGUAGGUGUACUUAGAUAACAUAUACUGUUAAUUGAGUGCGUCUAUAGUUAAGAAUAAUAUGUAUAGUGAUAAAGCAUACAAAGUAAUAUAAAGAAAAUGCAUAUGUAAGAAGCUAAGUAAGUAAUUAAGGAGGUUUAUUAUCCCGAAAUAGGAUACAUAUGUAUAUGUAGGA